GAUCUUUUGGGGGCAGCACAUACACUAAAAUUGGAACAAUAUAGAUGAUUAGGAUGGCACCUGCACCAGGAUAAUAUGCAAUUUGUGAAGCAUUCCAUUUUUUA